rnacentral:rRNA from 1 species
GUCUGGAAAGGCGCGCGAUACAGGGUGACAGCCCCGUACACAAAAAUGCACAUACUGUGAGCUCGAUGAGUAGGGCGGGACACGUGGUAUCCUGUCUGAAUAUGGGGGGACCAUCCUCCAAGGCUAAAUACUCCUGACUGACCGAUAGUGAACCAGUACCGUGAGGGAAAGGCGAAAAGAACCCCGGCGAGGGGAGUGAAAAAGAACCUGAAACCGUGUACGUACAAGCAGUGGGAGCACGCUUCGGCGUGUGACUGCGUACCUUUUGUAUAAUGGGUCAGCGACUUAUAUUCUGUAGCAAGGUUAACCGAAUAGGGGAGCCGAAGGGAAACCGAGUCUUAACUGGGCGUUAAGUUGCAGGGUAUAGACCCGAAACCCGGUGAUCUAGCCAUGGGCAGGUUGAAGGUUGGGUAACACUAACUGGAGGACCGAACCGACUAAUGUUGAAAAAUUAGCGGAUGACUUGUGGCUGGGGGUGAAAGGCCAAUCAAACCGGGAGAUAGCUGGUUCUCCCCGAAAGCUAUUUAGGUAGCGCCUCGUGAAUUCAUCUCCGGGGGUAGAGCACUGUUUCGGCAAGGGGGUCAUCCCGACUUACCAACCCGAUGCAAACUGCGAAUACCGGAGAAUGUUAUUACGGGAGACACACGGCGGGUGCUAACGUCCGUCGUGAAGAGGGAAACAACCCAGACCGCCAGCUAAGGUCCCAAAGUCAUGGUUAAGUGGGAAACGAUGUGGGAAGGCCCAGACAGCCAGGAUGUUGGCUUAGAAGCAGCCAUCAUUUAAAGAAAGCGUAAUAGCUCACUGGUCGAGUCGGCCUGCGCGGAAGAUGUAACGGGGCUAAACCAUGCACCGAAGCUGCGGCAGCGACACUAUGUGUUGUUGGGUAGGGGAGCGUUCUGUAAGCCUGUGAAGGUGUGCUGUGAGGCAUGCUGGAGGUAUCAGAAGUGCGAAUGCUGACAUAAGUAACGAUAAAGCGGGUGAAAAGCCCGCUCGCCGGAAGACCAAGGGUUCCUGUCCAACGUUAAUCGGGGCAGGGUGAGUCGACCCCUAAGGCGAGGCCGAAAGGCGUAGUCGAUGGGAAACAGGUUAAUAUUCCUGUACUUGGUGUUACUGCGAAGGGGGGACGGAGAAGGCUAUGUUGGCCGGGCGACGGUUGUCCCGGUUUAAGCGUGUAGGCUGGUUUUCCAGGCAAAUCCGGAAAAUCAAGGCUGAGGCGUGAUGACGAGGCACUACGGUGCUGAAGCAACAAAUGCCCUGCUUCCAGGAAAAGCCUCUAAGCAUCAGGUAACAUCAAAUCGUACCCCAAACCGACACAGGUGGUCAGGUAGAGAAUACCAAGGCGCUUGAGAGAACUCGGGUGAAGGAACUAGGCAAAAUGGUGCCGUAACUUCGGGAGAAGGCACGCUGAUAUGUAGGUGAAGUCCCUUGCUCAUGGAGCUGAAAUCAGUCGAAGAUACCAGCUGGCUGCAACUGUUUAUUAAAAACACAGCACUGUGCAAACACGAAAGUGGACGUAUACGGUGUGACGCCUGCCCGGUGCCGGAAGGUUAAUUGAUGGGGUUAGCGGUAACGCGAAGCUCUUGAUCGAAGCCCCGGUAAACGGCGGCCGUAACUAUAACGGUCCUAAGGUAGCGAAAUUCCUUGUCGGGUAAGUUCCGACCUGCACGAAUGGCGUAAUGAUGGCCAGGCUGUCUCCACCCGAGACUCAGUGAAAUUGAACUCGCUGUGAAGAUGCAGUGUACCCGCGGCAAGACGGAAAGACCCCGUGAACCUUUACUAUAGCUUGACACUGAACAUUGAGCCUUGAUGUGUAGGAUAGGUGGGAGGCUUUGAAGUGUGGACGCCAGUCUGCAUGGAGCCGACCUUGAAAUACCACCCUUUAAUGUUUGAUGUUCUAACGUUGGCCCCUGAUCGGGGUUGCGGACAGUGUCUGGUGGGUAGUUUGACUGGGGCGGUCUCCUCCUAAAGAGUAACGGAGGAGCACGAAGGUUGGCUAAUCCUGGUCGGACAUCAGGAGGUUAGUGCAAUGGCAUAAGCCAGCUUGACUGCGAGCGUGACGGCGCGAGCAGGUGCGAAAGCAGGUCAUAGUGAUCCGGUGGUUCUGAAUGGAAGGGCCAUCGCUCAACGGAUAAAAGGUACUCCGGGGAUAACAGGCUGAUACCGCCCAAGAGUUCAUAUCGACGGCGGUGUUUGGCACCUCGAUGUCGGCUCAUCACAUCCUGGGGCUGAAGUAGGUCCCAAGGGUAUGGCUGUUCGCCAUUUAAAGUGGUACGCGAGCUGGGUUUAGAACGUCGUGAGACAGUUCGGUCCCUAUCUGCCGUGGGCGCUGGAGAACUGAGGGGGGCUGCUCCUAGUACGAGAGGACCGGAGUGGACGCAUCACUGGUGUUCGGGUUGUCAUGCCAAUGGCACUGCCCGGUAGCUAAAUGCGGAAGAGAUAAGUGCUGAAAGCAUCUAAGCACGAAACUUGCCCCGAGAUGAGUUCUCCCUGACUCCCUGAGAGUCCUGAAGGAACGUUGAAGACGACGACGUUGAUAGGCCGGGUGUGUAAGCGCAGCGAUGCGUUGAGCUAACCGGUACUAAUGAACCGUGAGGCUUAACCUU